UGUGCUGCCUUUAAGGUGAAGAGAGGAGGGAAGCCCACCUCUGCCGGCGCGGGGCCGAAGAGGAGAUGCCGGGGGGAGCCAGGCGCUCCCCGCUUUCACUCAUAGCGGCAGAGAGAGCGAGAGAGGGAGAGAAAAUUGCCCCAGACCAGAGCGGAGAGCUGCUGAUAGCGGGGAGGCCGAUAAGGAGCAGAAACGCGCUUUUGUAGACCCCGCCGUUUCCUUCGCGUCUCGCCGCCCAGGCUCGGCUGCCGCCUGCCCGCCCUGCGCCCCCGGCCGCGGGAGCGCAAAGGGCAAUAGGGCGCUGCCCAGGGAGGGUCACAGGGCCCCGCUAAUUUAUUGGUAAGGCCACGGUUUCGUGUUUAUGGAAAACACGACAGAAGGGUAAAAAUCAACCUAUCCGCAGCGCUUUCACCCCUCAUUUCCUCCCCCCAUCAGAGAGAGCAGGCUGCUCCGCGCCUUCCCGGGAUGGAGAGGGGGCAGCGCCGGGAUGCCCCGCUCCUCCCGGGAUGCCCCGCUCCACCCGGGGUGCUCCGCUCCACCCGGGGUGCUCCGCUCCUCCCCGGAUGCCCCUUCUCCACCCGGGAUGCCCCUUCUCCACUCGGGAUACCCCGCUCCACCCGGGAUGCCCCUUCUCCACCCGGGAUGCCCGAGGUGGGCAGCCUGCUCCGGAGCCGCCGGUACAGCCGCACACAGCCCUCCUCUAAAGCCUCUUCGCACGCCGGGGGUGCCACCGUUACAUAUUUAUGGUUUAAAAGGCUAUUUUGCCCAUUAAAAAAGAAUAAUAAUCAAAAUCACACAAAAAACAACGUUCAAACCUGCUUCUCGUCCCAUUGGUUCGGGGCUGCUCCCAGGCAGAGUCCAGCCAAAACAACGCUCUGCAGAAGAUCUGUCUUUCUGGACCAAGACAGUAGUUGCUCAGUUUUAUUUUCCUUUAAAAAAUAUGCUUGUAAGGGAAUGGGGGAGGGUGGCAGAGAAUAUUUAUCAGAAUAGCAGAAGAUACCUGUCUUGAAACAAAGGCGGGGGGGAAUCGUCUCAAUUGUAAACCCAUCGGUCAGAGAACAAAUAACAAUAUUUAUAGAAAGGCAUUAAAAUAUACACCGUGCUUAAAUACCAACAACAAAUGUUUACUACAGUUGCUACAGCGCAGCUUAAUAAAAAAUUAGCCUUACUGACAGUCUUGUCAACAUCUUAAGUAAAUUAUCAUAGCGAUGGUCUUUGGAGAAGAGAACCCACACUCCUUGCUAAAACACCUCCUAUCAUUAAUCUUGAACCACUUGAAGAUUAUGAUGGAAAGAAUGGGAUCAGUAACCAUUAUCAUCUCAAAUUGCUGUUAAAAACUCCGCUGUUUAUUUUUGCAACCAAAGCGAAUGUAUAUGGGAAAUGCAGAAAAGGGAAGAACGGAAAACAGAAGAAAAGCAAAACAAUUGAGGCGAAUCCUGUUGCAACCUCGAUGAUAAACACAUGGAAAAAGCUGUUACUGCUCUGUGGAUUGCUGGAAUUUGUGUAGACAUUAGAAAAAUAAACAAAGCGAUGGCUCCGCACCAGUUCUGUGAAUGCACUGGUACGCUCGGAAAGAUGAAAAGAAAAUACUCCCCCUACCCCUUCCCUUGUUAAACUGCUUCCAGGAUUUGGCAGAGAAGGGAGAAUCCGCUGUUUUAGGGACACUGGACCUGAAACGCUAUCAAUGUUAUCAGCGGAUCUUUACACCUUCAAUGAAUCCACGAAUCGAUGUGAGCUGGGUACGCCUUUGAGGACAACCAAAGGCGGCUUUUUAAAGUUAUUCUUUCAAAAUGUAGAAGUUUAGACGAAGCCUUUAAACAGCACGAUGCCCCCCGGCCGACCCUCCUCCUCCCCUCUCUCUCCAAGUCAAAGGAAAGCGCGCCGCUAAACCGGGGCGAUGCGGAUUAAAAUAAACCAAACAACCAUUUUUUUCCCCCCCUUUUAGUUGAGCCGCAUCUUCCUGUUGUUUCCGAGCUGAUUCCUUUCGGCAGCGGUGUACAGAGCCCGGCGGGCUGCUCUUCCCUCUCCAGAGCGGGGGAGAGGCUGUUUGCUCCCGCAGGCAGCGCGGGGCGCGCAGGUGGGCGCGGUGGGAGCCGGAGCCGCGCUGCCCUCUCCCCCACCGCGGCCCCGCAGUGACCCCGGCCCGGGGCUGCGGAGAGGUGAGAGGUGACGCUGCGAGCCAGCGCAGACCUGGCCCUUUUAAAGCCACAGCUAAUCACUCCUUUACUAAAUUAAAAUAUAGGAACCAGAGGGGAAGCAAUUUCGUUGUAAAGAAUUACCAUCCGCGCUCCCAGAACGAAAUAGUAUUGAAAUAAGGACGGUGCUCUCUGCGACGGAGAGAUUUGUCACCCAGGAGCGGUUCGGCUAAGACCAACUAUAAAAUUAUACUCGCACUAUAGAGAUCCGAUAGAUCUGCACGCGUGGGGGAUUAUGCAUCGCACGCACACGCAGCAAUAACAUAAGGUUACCGAGUUACUGCGAAACUUCAGCCCCAUAAACUAUAGAGCGGGGUGAUGCUUAUGGGACAGCAGGGUCCCACCCAGCCAAAGAAGUAUAAGUACUACACAUUAAAGGGUUUCAUUACAAUAUGGGGAAGAAAUUAAAGUGGGGGGGAAAAAGUGAUGCAUUUUCCCGUCUAUUCGUCUUCGAUUUCCAGUUAUCCUUUAAUCUCUCUUAAGAAAGAGGGAACUAACUGCGGUGUGUGAACGGGUGUGCGUGUACAUCGCGCACACACACGCUGUGUACGCCUAUGUGUGUGUGUGUGUGAUGUAAAAACGUGUGUAACCUGAGCGCAUGAGCCGGCCCACGAGGAGUGGAAAAUGGUGACAGUCCAAUUUUUCCUCUUUAAUUAGGAAAUAGUCCUUGAUUGUCUUGGAGCCCAUUACUUUUUAAUAACUCCAUAGAAUCGGGAGGAGAAUAAAUGUCUGCCGCAAGUGCUCUGCUAUAAAGCAAUUAUUUCACCAGGUUAAUACGCAGUUGCAAAUGCAA